rnacentral:rRNA from 1 species
UACAGAGGUCUCAAGCGUUGUUCGGAUUCAUUGGGCGUAAAGGGUGCGUAGGUGGCGCUGUAAGUCAGGUGUGAAAUUUCGGAGCUUAACUCCGAAACUGCAUUUGAUACUGCGGUGCUUGAGGACUGGAGAGGAGACUGGAAUUUACGGUGUAGCAGUGAAAUGCGUAGAGAUCGUAAGGAAGACCAGUGGCGAAGGCGGGUCUCUGGACAGUUCCUGACACUGAUGCGCGACAGCGUGGGGGGCAAACAGG